rnacentral:rRNA from 1 species
GUGGGGAAUAUUGGACAAUGGGCGCAAGCCUGAUCCAGCCAUGCCGCGUGAGUGAUGAAGGCCUUAGGGUUGUAAAGCUCUUUCAGUGGGGACGAUAAUGACGGUACCCACAGAAGAAGCCCCGGCUAACUUCGUGCCAGCAGCCGCGGUAAUACGAAGGGGGCUAGCGUUGCUCGGAUUUACUGGGCGUAAAGCGCACGUAGGCGGAGCGUUAAGUCGGGGGUGAAAUCCUGGAGCUCAACUCCAGAACUGCCUUCGAUACUGGCGAUAUUGAGUCCGGAAGAGGUGAGUGGAACUCCUAGUGUAGAGGUGGAAUUCGUAGAUAUUAGGAAGAACACCAGUGGCGAAGGCGGCUCACUGGUCCGGUACUGACGCUGAGGUGCGAAAGCGUGGGGAGCAAACAGGAUUAGAUACCCGAGUAGUCC